UAUGAAGUUUUGUCCUCCUGAUCCUUUUGUGUUUUCUGCUAAUCAAAGAACACCCACACAUACAACACAUUCUUAUCUUCACAAAUUACUUAUACACAACACACACUCAAAUGAAGAUCAAAGCUUCUAUCACCACAACACCUUCAUCUUCACUUACAUCUCCCUCUCGAUCUACUGGGCACGAGAACCGGAGCUGAAGCCGGCACUGACGCCGGUGGCUUUUCAGGCGAAAUACCCCCCCCCCCUUUCCGAUCUACGCGACUCCUCAGGCGGCGCGUGAUGGUGACGGCACGAUGGCCAGUGGCGGCGACAAGGAAGAGAGAGACAGAGAGCGAGUCCAGAGAGAGAGAUGGAUGGAUGGCGAACCGGCGAUGGCACCGCCGCUCACGGCGGCGGAGAUUGAGGGUUUUGACGGUGACCGGCGGCGACUGUGAUCCCAAUGGCGGCGGACGGAGCCUCGGUCCGAUGGGUUUGACGGUUGUAUUUGAGCCUCAGUUCCAGAGGUUCACACUUCAGAUCAGUAUUGGUGACUCGGGUUCGCGUCACGGUCGGUUUGAGUCAACCCGGGUCAGUCUUGGUCGCACGAGUUCGGGUCAACAGGUGGUUCACACAGUUCGGUUUCGGUCAAGGUAGUUGAACGGACGACUCAGUUCAGAUCUGGAAUAUGCUUGGUUCGGAUUUUGGUUCGACAAGGAAACAACACACAUUCAAAUGCGGUCAAACGGGUCAACUCGGGUCAGACGAGUCGACUCGGUUCAGCCGGUCAACCCAGUCAACACAGCGGGUUGACUGGUCAAACUGGUCAGACCUGGUCAACGACAGUCAACUCAAAGACCCGGAAUACUAUAGAUGCACGCUAGCUAAUUCACGUUCUUGGAAUGACACUUCGGAAUCACGCUAAGCUAGCUUUGCACAGGAAUGUCAAGGUUGCAUUUUUCAAAACUACGGAACGGUUGGAAUAGAAGAACCCACGGGAUUUCGAGUACUU